CUUUCAAUUCUUUCUAUGUUGUUAC
rnacentral:other from 18 species